GCAUGUACAUAUAUGUAUGUAUGUACAUAUAUCCGUAGCCAGAACAUUCUGUGGACAUAAAGUUUACGUUUGUUCGAUUGGUAUCGUACGAUCGCAAAUAUAAUCGACAUAAUUAUACAUACAAUUGAGCGACAGGACCAACCAGUAAAUAGAUAAGGUCACGGUGUUACCUAAUAAGUCGCUUUUACAUUGUAUCGCGUGCGCACCGAUAAUUCGACCGCAUGUUAUGCAGAUGUUGCAGAUUCAAAGAGAAACCGUGGAAUGCUAGAUUUAUUAGAUAAAUUGCAAAGAAAACGAAACGAAGAAACAAAAUAAGAAGGAUAGUAAUUUCACAUACAUACAAAAAGAAAGGUAAUGUACAAUUCAAUGGUUGGUUCGUAUUCCAUUUCUGGAUGCGAUAGAUUGAGAAUUUAUGUUUAGAAAUGUGGGAGGAAAAAUAGUACCAGCACCAGUGGCAAUGCAUGGGCCAACGAGGAUGUGAUUUAGUGUGCUAAGGCGACGAUCCAGUUCGUAGCCGGAUACCAGCAAGAAUCCUGGGCUAUUCUCAAAAUCCCAGAAUUACCAGCUGAUAUUUGACUACGUAACCGGAGUUUCUAUGUGUUUGCGCUUGCAGAUUAGUCACAGAUCGCACUCGAACCAAUAAUUCUAGAGUGGGAUUUGAACCGCGUCACCAGUGCAUAAACUAAAAUGAGAGUGUACAAUGGUUUUGCAGGUUGAUAUUAUAGCAAGCUGUGGAAAUAUCGGGUCCAGUUGAACAAUUUCAUUACAAUAGAUACGUGCGCUUUUGGAAGAUAUUGUUACGAACGUAUGCUAGAUUUAGACUUUUUAAUAUUAUCAUCAGCGUGAUUAUACCUAAUAAAUAUUAUGUAUUAACGACAGCGAGUGAUCGCAAGAUAUCUCGUUGCUUUGAGUUUAAACCAUCCGUCAGUGUCCUCGAAGGAUAAUACAUAUAUAUACCGCAA